ACGUAGGGAGCAAGCGUUAUCCGGAUUUACUGGGUGUAAAGGGCGUGUAGGCGGGAGUGCAAGUCAGAUGUGAAAACUAUGGGCUCAACCCAUAGCCUGCAUUUGAAACUGUACUUCUUGAGUACUGGAGAGGCAGGCGGAAUUCCGUGUGUAGCGGUGAAAUGCGUAGAUAUACGGAGGAACACCAGUGGCGAAGGCGGCCUGCUGGACAGCAACUGACGCUGAGGCGCGAAAGCGUGGGGAGCAAACAG
rnacentral:rRNA from 1 species